rnacentral:lncRNA from 1 species
CCCGGCAGCCUCGCUGGAGCUGUGGCUCAACAAAGCCACAGACCCAAGCAUGUCGGAACAGGAUUGGUCAGCUAUCCAGAAUUUCUGUGAGCAGGUGAACACUGACCCCAAUGGCCCCACACAUGCGCCCUGGCUACUGGCCCACAAGAUCCAGUCUCCGCAAGAGAAGGAAGCUCUUUAUGCCUUAACGGUGAGUUUGGCUUGCCUUGUAGCCUAACCUUUCCUGUCCUUGUGCUAUAGAGAGCCGAGAGGCACUUUGCUUCCACGCAGAUCCUUUUCACUGGAGAAGGGAGGUCACCUGAGAGGUUUACUUUCACAGCAGGUUGGAGGAGGGAGAUCUGGGCCAGGGUCCCCACCCUUCUUCCUCCUGUUUCUCGUCUGUUUCUUCAGGGCAGCAUUGAGUCUACUGUGGGAGAAGGAAAGGAAGGUUUUAUUUCAUUUGCCCUUCUUAGACCAGGGCUGGCAAGUUCAUGUGCCUUUUCUAGAGAGGGCAGUUCUAGCACAGGGCCCACUAGCUGUUGGCAGGUAUGAGUAUGGGCUCAGGGUUGCUAGUUUAGGUCUUUGUAUAUGUUUGAGUGUUUAGAUGUUGGUGACUAAUUUGCAGUGUUGAAAGCCACAGUAUGGACGAGAGGAGGGGUCUGCAGGCUCAGCUUGCCUCUUGAGUGCCAGUGGGUGACAUCUGGCUGGUCUUGGGCACUGGAUACCAGAUCUCUGCCUCUGGGGAGGGGUUGGUUCUUUAGCCACUUUACCCUCUCAAAGGGUCUCCUUAAAAGGUGGGGUGACGUCAGGGUUUGACAUACCUCACUAAGCUAUUUCCUGGGCAUAAACCUCAGGCAGUUAUAGCAAGAUUGAACAGGGGACAUUUUUUUCUUGAUCUGAAAACGUCCUCUUCAUCAAAACUUCAGUGUCCUCAUAGGCUUGAGGCAGGGUUAGCCUUGGUUCCAGCGCAGUCUCCAGCAAGUGAUUACCAGCCUGGAGGGGAGCCUGGGACCAAUGGCUUUCCACCUUCUCCUGGGGGUCCUGUGUCUGUGCAGGUGCUGGAGAUGUGCAUGAACCACUGUGGGGAGAAGUUCCACAGCGAGGUGGCCAAAUUUCGUUUCCUGAACGAACUGAUCAAAGUGUUGUCCCCAAAGUACCUGGGGUCCUGGGCCACAGGAAAAGUUAAAGGAAGAGUCAUUGAAAUACUCUUUAGUUGGACAGUCUGGUUUCCGGAAGACAUCAAGAUUCGAG